rnacentral:rRNA from 1 species
UACGAAGGGGGCUAGCGUUGCUCGGAAUUACUGGGCGUAAAGCGCACGUAGGCGGCUUUCUAAGUCGGGGGUGAAAUCCUGGAGCUCAACUCCAGAACUGCCUUCGUACUGGAAAGCUCGAGUCCGGGAGAGGUGAGUGGAACUGCGAGUGUAGAGGUGAAAUUCGUAGAUAUUCGCAAGAACACCAGUGGCGAAGGCGGCUCACUGGCCCGGUACUGACGCUGAGGUGCGAAAGCGUGGGGAGCAAAACAGG